CGCUGCUUUGAUAUAUUUAAAUAAGUCUUAAAAGUUUUAUGCCUGGGUGUGCUGUGCGGAACGCUUCAGCGAGAGAGCCUAGCAGAUUUCGGUAAAAUGGUCCCUGAUUUCAAAAAAGUGGUCCCUGGCCUGGUUACCAAGCAUACCGCAUUUUUAAAUAGGAAAUGUUAUGGAAAUUUCCUUUGUGUUUAUAAUUAAGUCAUUAGUUUUGC